AAGGAGUCUAACAUCUAUGCGAGUGUUCGGGUGUCAAACCCCUACGCGUAAUGAAAGUGAACGGAGGUGAGAACCGCAAGGUGCAUCAUCGACCGAUCCUGAUGUCUUCGGAUGGAUUUGAGUAUGAGCGUAGCUGUUGGGACCCGAAAGAUGGUGAACUAUGCCUGAAUAGGGUGAAGCCAGAGGAAAGUCUGGUGGAGGGCCGUAGCGAUUCUGACGUGCAAAUCGUUCGUCAAAUCUGGGUAUAGGGGCGAAAGACUAAUCGAACCAUCUAGUAGCUGGUUCCCUC
rnacentral:misc_RNA from 1 species